GCUUGAGCUUGUCCAGCGGGGUCAAGGCCUUGAAAGCCUUGCGCGUGGCGAUGUGCUCGGGGCGCGGAUCCAGCCCGUACUUGGGCG
rnacentral:tRNA from 1 species